rnacentral:lncRNA from 1 species
GAUAGGCUGUCAUCACUACUACAACAUCUGCCUAUGCAUCCUUGAAUAUAAACAGGUACUUAAAAGCACAGCAUUGACAACAACAAAAAAUGCUUUCCUUUUGGCUUGAAAGAAGGCAAUAAGAAGAAAGAUUUUAGGAGCUGAGCUGGAAAUUAAGAAGAAAGCCUCAAGGUUCUGUGAGCAUGAACCUACUUAAGGGGUCUUGCCUCCAAGACAGUAUUUAGGAUAUAUGGAAAGAAGCACAGGAAAAAAAGAACUACAAUACAACCUCUACCAUACAUCAGAUGUCUGAGUCCUGAGCUCUGUUCUGUUCCACUGGUCAAUUUGUCUUCCUGCACCAAGACAAUACUAUCUUAAUUAUUAGAGUUUUAAAAUAUUUUAAUAUUUAGUAGACAAGUACAUCUACCUUAUUCCUCUUCAUCAGAAGUGUUGUAAUUCUUGGCACAUUGCUAUUCUGAACACCUUUUAAAAUUAGUUUGCGAAUUUCCACCAAAAACACUGUUGGGAUUUGAAUUGUGCUGUAUUAAAACUGUGGAUCAGUUUGGGGAGUACUGACAUAUUUAGAGCAUUGAGUCUUCCUUUUCAUGAACAUGGAAUCUUUCUCUAUCAAGUUCUUCUUUUACAUCUUUCAGUAAUGUUUUAUAGUUUAUCCAUAAAGGUCUUGCAUAUUUUUUGUGAGAUUGCUCUGAAGUACAUUUUUUUGUUGUUGCAAUUGCAAAUGGAUAUUUAGAGGCCGUUUGCUCUUUGUGGCUGGUGUAUAUAAAUGAAUUGAUUUUUAUGAAUUCAUCUUUU